AUGAAACAAAGCAUAUGUCUAUUUUUCGUUUGCGGCAGCAGUGGACAUGCCGUUGUGAUCAUGAAGGACUGCUCCCAUCGUGAAUCUGAAAGUUGUGAUGAAGUGUUAAAAGAAGAAAUUUUUAAAGGGAUUCACGAUAGCUCCUUAAAUGAAAAUCAUGAUUGCAAUGAUGUUAUUAUAAAUUCUAUUUUUUUCUUCAAUUGUGCUAAUGAUAUGCAAAGCUACAAGCUUGGGGAUGAUAAUUUUGUUAUGUCCACUACUUAUUGCAAUGAUCAUGAUUGGGAUGAUAAUGUUUCUCAUGAUCUUGAAAAUUUAUUUAGUCAUCAUGAUGAAUAUGUUAUUGAUAAUAAUGUUUGCAAUAAUAUUGAAAGUGGGUUUGGAAGAGUGUCAACUUUAGGUAAAAGUAAUCCCACAUAUUCGGAGAGCGUUCAAUCUUAUGAUAAAAGUGGGUUUGGAUAG
rnacentral:rRNA from 1 species